GAAUGGGGGGGGCUGCUAAUACAUGCAGUCGAGCGGACAGAUGGGAGCUUGCUCCCUGAUGUUAGCGGCGGACGGGUGAGUAACACGUGGGUAACCUGCCUGUAAGACUGGGAUAACUCCGGGAAACCGGGGCUAAUACCGGAUGGUUGUUUGAACCGCAUGGUUCAGACAUAAAAGGUGGCUUCGGCUACCACUUACAGAUGGACCCGCGGCGCAUUAGCUAGUUGGUGAGGUAACGGCUCACCAAGGCAACGAUGCGUAGCCGACCUGAGAGGGUGAUCGGCCACACUGGGACUGAGACACGGCCCAGACUCCUACGGGAGGCAGCAGUAGGGAAUCUUCCGCAAUGGACGAAAGUCUGACGGAGCAACGCCGCGUGAGUGAUGAAGGUUUUCGGAUCGUAAAGCUCUGUUGUUAGGGAAGAACAAGUGCCGUUCAAAUAGGGCGGCACCUUGACGGUACCUAACCAGAAAGCCACGGCUAACUACGUGCCAGCAGCCGCGGUAAUACGUAGGUGGCAAGCGUUGUCCGGAAUUAUUGGGCGUAAAGGGCUCGCAGGCGGUUUCUUAAGUCUGAUGUGAAAGCCCCCGGCUCAACCGGGGAGGGUCAUUGGAAACUGGGGAACUUGAGUGCAGAAGAGGAGAGUGGAAUUCCACGUGUAGCGGUGAAAUGCGUAGAGAUGUGGAGGAACACCAGUGGCGAAAGCGACUCUCUGGUCUGUAACUGACGCUGAGGAGCGAAAGCGUGGGGAGCGAACAGGAUUAGAUACCCUGGUAGUCCACGCCGUAAACGAUGAGUGCUAAGUGUUAGGGGGUUUCCGCCCCUUAGUGCUGCAGCUAACGCAUUUAAGCACUCCCGCCCUGGGGGAGUACGGUCGCAAGACUGAAACUCAAGGAAUUGACCGGGGCCCGCACAAGCCGGUGGAGCAUGUGAUUACUCGAGCACCGCGAGAUCUUACAGUCUGGACAUUCGUCUGACAUCUAGAGAAUCGAACGUUCCUUCGGGGCAGACUGAACGUGAUGCCAUCGGCUGG
rnacentral:rRNA from 1 species